GACGAACGCUGGCGGCGUGCCUAACACAUGCAAGUCGAACGGAAAGGCCCUGCUUUUGUGGGGUGCUCGAGUGGCGAACGGGUGAGUAACACGUGAGUAACCUGCCCUUGACUUUGGGAUAACUUCAGGAAACUGGGGCUAAUACCGGAUAGGAGCUUCUGCUGCAUGGUGGGGGUUGGAAAGUGUCGGCGGUGGGGGAUGUACUGGCGGCGUAUCAGCUUGUUGGUGGGGUAGUGGCUUACCAAGUCUUCGACGGGUAGCCGGCCUCUGAGGGUGAUCGGCGACACUGGAAGGGAGACGCGGACCAGACUCCUACGGGAGGCAGCAGACGGGAAUGGGAGGCAGUGGGGGAGAGUAUGACACAGUGAGCCCGCGUGUGAGAUGAAGGCCUCGGGUGCGGAAAGACGGCCUUCGGGUUAUGAACAGCUUUCGCCUGUGACGAGGCGUGCGUGACGGUACUGGAUGAAGAAGCACCGGCUAACUACGUG
rnacentral:rRNA from 1 species